AUGCAAAGGCAUAGCAAACUAUGUGUCUCCACAUCCACCCCUAUGUCCGGACUCCAAGAUUGGACAGACCUCCCAAAGGAUCUGUUACAAUCAAUUUUCUCUCGCUUAGGCUCAAUCCAUGACCUUCUUGCCUUUGUUGCAACCUGCCGUUCUUGGCGGGUUGCAUUAACUUCAUACUCAUCCAAAUCCACCUUAUGCACUUUAUUCCCGCCUCUGCUCAUCCAGCCCAAUAUUCGUGUCCAUGUUCCUCGUCCUCCAUGUAACAAUGGUCAUCGCAACUUACAGGCAUAUAAAGUUAUCGAUCCAGCCAAGCAAAGUGCCAUUGGCCUUCACUGCCAUAUUGAUGAAGAAAUUUUGCAGACGAUGCGUUGUGCUGGCCCUUCAUAUGGUCAACUCAUCUUCUACAACCAUGGACAUUGCGUUGUUGUUGAUCCUUUUAGAGGUACCAAGGUUUCACCUCCACGUCUCCCAUUACGUGAUGAGUAUAGGAAGCUCAACUGGUCUGAUAUUCCAUUCAAACAAAAAAUAAUGGAGCUCCAACAACUAGUUACAGAGUCUUACUGCAGUGCCAUUCUAACAGCUCCUCUUGCAUCACCAAACUCGCAUAUGCUUGUUAGCACUGGCCCCUCCUUAUUUAGUUGGUCGGUUGGAAGUGAUACUUGGUCUGAACUCCAGUGUUCUGAUGUACAAAUAAUUCAGAUUGUGGAAUUCAACGGCCAAUUCAUUGCCAUGGAUCUUCGUCAACAGAUAUACACUUUGGAGAUGGCCCCCAAGCUUAGACUGCAGGAGAUAACCACUAACUGCCCCCCUGACUUGACCAAGAGUUGCCAAGACCCGUCUAGAAUAUCAUGGCUAGUGGUCUGCGGUGACAUGCUUCUGAUGUUGGUCCAUUCUUGCACGAGUAUUCAGUACAAUGCCAGUGUGUCAUUUAUCCGCACGGUCCAUUACCUUGACAUGUCAACCAAGCCUGCAAAAUGGGUGGAUAUGGAAAAGCUGGACAACUGGGCCAUCUUCACGGGGAGUGAUAUCAGGAGUACAUCAUUUUCUUGCAUGAACCCAGAACAUUGGGGAGGAAGGAGCAAAUGUCUAUAUGUUGCUCGUUCCCCUAAACCUUGGAGUGAAUAUGGGUUAGGAAAUGAGCCAGAUCCAUCUGUUGAUCCCACCCAUCAGCACUUCAGGAUCUGGUGCCACCUGAUGCAACCCCUUUGGGUGUACCCGAGCAUGCUCUAUUCAGAUGGCCCUUGA
rnacentral:rRNA from 1 species